rnacentral:rRNA from 1 species
UACGUAGGCAGCAAGCGUUGUUCGGAGUUACUGGGCGUAAAGGGUGUGUAGGCGGUUGUUUAAGUUUGGUGUGAAAUCUCCCGGCUCAACUGGGAGGUGCGCCGAAUACUGAAUGACUAGAGUGCGGGAGAGGAAAGUGGAAUUCCUGGUGUAGCGGUGAAAUGCGUAGAUAUCAGGAGGAACACCGGUGGUGUAGACGGCUUCUGGACCGUAACUGACGCUGAGACACGAAAGCGUGGGUAGCAAACAGG